rnacentral:miRNA from 1 species
ACCUUAGAGACCAACUAAGUUAGUUAUUGGUAUGAGUUUUCGUGUGCAUGCACACUCCUUCAGAUGCAUGCACACGAAAGCUCAUACCAACAAUUAACUUAGUUCGUCUCUAAGGU